AACGAACGCUGGCGGCAUGCCUAACACAUGCAAGUCGAACGCGACCUUCGGGUCUUGUUGCGCACGGGUGCGUCACGCGUCUGAACCUUCCCUUAGGUUCGGAAUACCUCCUCGCAAGGGGUGCUAAUACCGGACAAUGUCUUCUGCCCAAAGAGUUAUCGCCUUUGGAUGGGCCCGCGUUGAAUUAGCUAGUUGGUAGGUUAAAAGACUACCAAGGCUACGAUCCAUAGCUGGUCUGAUAGGAUGACCCGCCACACUGGGACUGAGACACGGCCCAGAUUCCUACGAGAGGAAGCAGUGGGGAAUAUUGGACAAUGGGCGAGAGAAUGAUCCAGCAAUGCCGCGUGAGUGAUGAAGGCGUUAGGGUUGUAAAGCUCUUUUACACGGGAUGAUAAUGACAGUACCGGGAGAAUAAGGGCCGGCUAACUACGUG
rnacentral:rRNA from 1 species